AAUGUGCAGAUCAACGAUCUUUCUACAAACCAGAUUUUUAUAUCAAAUAAGCAAAUCUCUGUCCUCUGCUUUAGUGAAGACACAAUCAAUUCUAGCUUCUUUUAUACACUGCAGUUAUUGCUACUUUUGGCAUAGAUGAUCUGGCUCCAAAUUUGCUGUGAGUAGACCAAUUUUUUUCUUAAUUUUCCCGGUAUAAAAAUAAAACUGCCUUUAUGGCAUUCCUGAUGUUACACUAUCAAAUUGCAUAAGGCCUUCCAUCCUGGGGAAAGCAUGAAUAGCAAAAGAGACAAUCAAGCAAUUUGCCAUUCACUCCUCAGCAGAGAGCACAAAGUUUUGGAUUUGAGUUGUGGGGUGUGGUGUGAGUCACUCACUUGGUUUUAAGCAGAAGAAUAACACAAAUAAUGCACUGGUAAGGUUUUGUCUGGUAAUGUAAAUAGACUUAGCUUUUGCUGUUAUGGCAGUUUAUGUAACAUUUUUCUGGUUUAUAUAAUAUUUACCUUGAUUGUUUUUAGAUAUUAAAAAACCAGAAGCCUGUACAAUACUGUUGGACUGCAUUUUAUUUGUCCAAUUUAAAAUUGAUCAUUGCAUUAGUAUCCUCUGAUACUGCAAUAUCUCUACUUCCUAUGUUGUUUCAAAAACAAAUUAGCAAAAGAUAUGAAAUGAAGUUAUAUUUCAAUAUAUUCUCUGUCCUUUCCCUUUGUUUGCCUCUACUUAUUUAAAAUGUUUGAUUGGAGCUUUGAAAGAAAAAGAAAGACCAUGGGUCAGGUGUAGUCAGCUGGCACAAAACAAUAAGGCCACCUGGAAGUGAUCAUUUAUACCAUGUGAGGGUCUGGUAGAUCACCCAAUCCAUGCAUCUUGGUGAGUGUUGGGAGCUGUAUUUCUAACAAGUGAUUUCCUGAAGGUGACCUGGAUUGUGUCUGUCCUGAGAUGUGUCCUGCUGUGAUCUGCACUGCUGCAAUGGCAGCAUGCACCAUGUUAACAGUUACAGGGUAAUUGCUCUUCCCACUAUAACCUACUACUUCUUUUUUUAUUUUUUUUUUCUCAUUACACACUAGCAGGUUUGAGAGCUCAUUUGUUCUCAUGCCAAUUAAUCAAUUUGCCACCAUCUGCAUGUGAAGAGCACCCAAGCAGUUAGAAAACUGACUGGUUUCUUGGGAGAUAGUCACUGGUUCUCCAGACUCACGAGCAGCAAGAGAGGAUGCAGCAAAAAUGAAAAUAAAACUCUUCUGUAGUGCAACCUCUUCCUCAGAACCAUCUGCAACACUACUGAGAUUUGAAAGCCAGAACACAGAAAAAAAACAAACCAUUGCUUAAUGGAUAAUGAUCAAGGACAUUCUCAAACUCACUGCAUUAUCUCCCAGACAAGGGCCCAAGCAGCUCGAGCAGCUCUUCAUUGGUCUCACUCCCAUGUGAAAGAUACAAACACUACAGAAGGCAGAGAACUUCUCUAAAGAAAACCAGCUUAUUUCUCACACAAAUCUAGUGUGAUAUUCCUCCUCAAAAUCUUUGCUGGACCUCAGUGAUGAACAAAUAGAAUUAAUUAAGCAGUGACCACAUAAAAGAACAAAUAAACAGCUGUGAAUAUUCAAACGGAAUUAACAAAAUCAAGCUUCUUAUGGCUCAUGCAGCCAAAAGUGGUGAUGUUCCACUUAUUGGGAGUGACCUCGCAGUGGUUGGAGGUAGCAUUUUGCAGUGCUGCCAGUUUGAAUGUGUACCAGAGUACACUGACACUAAAAGAAAACACAGAUCUCUGUAGAAGACAGAAGACAUAGUGUUUGUAGGAACAAAGCAAAAAUACCAACACUUGCAAGUAGUCACUGCAAAACACAUUCAGUCUGGUGAUCUGUGCACAUCACUGUGACAGCAGCAAUAAAUCACAAGCUCUGCAACUGUUCAGAGGGAAGGUUUCCUGGGAACCUGAAGCCAAAGAUUAAGAUGGAUCAUAUGAUAUUGGAUCCACUCCAUUCAAUAGAUAAGUUUCUGGUUAUCUUAUGCAGAAAACAUAUGUGCCAUCUGUCUUGAGCAUUUAUUAAAUGUGAUGUCUACACUGCGAACAAAACAGAAAUAGACUCUGUUCUUGCCUUCCAGUACUUUCAUGUGAUCACAUCUCUCAGUAAGAUGCAUUGUUCUUAAAUGAUCUCUUCUACUGCAGCUUCUGAAAGUAUAGCUGUCAGCAUUGAAUUGCACCUUUUACCUGGUCACUGAUGUAAUUCCUACUGACUUCUGUAAAUUUUGACAAAAUAAUGCUAUUCCACCAGAAUAAAACAAUAAACUGUCUUAUACAACUCAUUAAACUCUCUUAUAAAAAUUUGAAAAAUUUCUAAUGGCUGGAAAACACACCAAGAAAAAUCAUUCAGCAUAGCAGUAGAAUAGAAUUGUCCAGUAACAAAGAAAAAAAGUUCUACAUAAGUAUCCUGAUGCUAUUCUGGUUGCAAGGGAUUUUAUUCUUUUGAUGGAUUUAAGAUGAGGGUAGCACCAAUGUCAUUUCUCAGCUACUUGUCAUCCUACUUGAU